AUGACGAUCUUAAUUUUUGGAGUAACUAACUGCAUGCAUGCUACAUCUUCAGGGAAAGAGUACAGCAAGGCUGACUCCAGAUAUGCCACCGGGGACACCACAACCACCGCGGUCGAAGUCAUUGCGGUUUUUCUACAAGGCCCUUUAUCACUUCUUGCUGUUUACGCUAUUGCUUCCAGAAAGUCCUACAACUACAUUCUACAGUUCAGUGUAUCUAUGAGCCACCUCUACUCAAUGUUGAUUUUCUACAUUACCGCCUACUUAGACGGCAUGAACUUCUGCGCCAGUCCAUUCUACUUCUGGACAUAUUUCGUUGGUGCAAACUCCCCAUGGGUUGUGAUUCCAACGCUGAUAGCAAUAAGGAGCUGGAAGUUGAUAAGCCAGGCAUCUCAGUCUUGCAAGGUGAAUCAAGACUAA
rnacentral:rRNA from 1 species